rnacentral:rRNA from 1 species
UACGAGGGGGGCGAGCGUUGUUCGGAAUUAUUGGGCGUAAAGGGUGCGUCGGCGGUUUGGUAAGUCUGAUGUGAAAUCUAUGGGCUCAACUCAUAGUCUGCAUCGGAAACUGCCGGGCUUGAGUGUGGGAGAGGUGAGUGGAAUUCCUGGUGUAGCGGUGAAAUGCGUAGAUAUCAGGAGGAACACCUGUGGCGAAAGCGGCUCACUGGACCAUAACUGACGCUGAUGCACGAAAGCUAGGGGAGCAAACAGG